AGGCAGCCUCUCUGCGAAAUUGCACAUGGCAGGCGGGGUGUUAGUUUGUCCGGAAAUCGAAGGAACAGCUUCUGCUCUUCUGAUUCGCUGAGAAGGUAAAGAGGUUGGAGAGGGGGAAAUCCCUCCUCUUCUUUCCACCCUUCCCUGAAGCGGGUCUAGUAAGCCUAAGUACAUC